AUACGUAGGGUGCGAGCGUUGUCCGGAAUUAUUGGGCGUAAAGAGCUCGUAGGUGGUUUGUCGCGUCGUCUGUGAAAUUCCGGGGCUUAACUCCGGGCGUGCAGGCGAUACGGGCAUAACUUGAGUACUGUAGGGGAGACUGGAAUUCCUGGUGUAGCGGUGAAAUGCGCAGAUAUCAGGAGGAACACCGGUGGCGAAGGCGGGUCUCUGGGCAGUAACUGACGCUGAGGAGCGAAAGCAUGGGUAGCGAACAGGAUUAGAUACCCUGGUAGUCCAUGCCGUAAACGGUGGGCGCUAGGUGUAGGGGUCUUCCACGACUUCUGUGCCGUAGCUAACGCAUUAAGCGCCCCGCCUGGGGAGUACGGCCGCAAGGCUAAAACUCAAAUGAAUUGACGGGG
rnacentral:rRNA from 1 species